GUGAGAAAAAGCAGACAUCUGAUUGGUUGAGAAGGAUCCAUGUUCAUUUCACACGAAUCUGUCAGUCAGUUGUUCAUUGAACAGCAGUAGAAUAGUAGGGUGUCUGUCUAGUAUGGGGAAAAAUAUAGCUGCGAGUAAAUUAACCUUAUAUUGUAUGGCUAUUUUGAAAGCGGAUAUACAUUUCUAAUAACAGAUAUUCAAUUAGAAGUCAAGUUCGUUUCUAAGGACGUAUAAAAAGUGGAUUUAAAAAAGAUCUGCUGAUAGAUUCCAGAGAGGACUUAAAAGUUUCUAUCGCAGGGAUUUUUUCUCAGACAAAAAAGAUUGGUGAAAAUUUCAAUACACGCACUAUAAAUGUAGAUAUCGAUGUGGAAGUAUCUAGAAAUUUAAAUGUGGAUAAAAUUAACAUAUAAACCAUAUGAAGAAAAGGGUGAAGGAAUUAACAGUUAGGAGUGAAGAUGUUCUUUAUUGGAAUCAAAUGGAUCUGGAUAUGUUCCUGUAUAAUUCUUGGACAAGCUGACCCAGAGCCAUCUGCCAAUGCAGAUCCUGUACGAAAUGCAGCCAACACUGCACGAGGGUUUCAGUCGCAGUCGUCCAACCCUCGUAUUACGGAACACCCUCAGGAUGACUUUUUUGCUAAGAACGAGCCGGCAACCUUGAACUGCAAAGCUGAAGGCGACCCACCACCUACGAUCACCUGGUACAGAAACGGUCAGCCUGUGGAGACUAAUAGGGAAAACCCAAUUUCGCAUCGGAUGUUACUGGAUAAUGGGCAGUUGUUUUUUCUCCGUGUAAUUCAUUCCAAAAAUAACCAUCCUGACAUAGGAGAAUAUUACUGCAAUGCUACAAACAUACACGGCUCUGUUACUAGUAAAACAGCAAACAUUCAGAUAGCAGUUCUGAAGGACAACUUUGUAGAGGAGCCGUCAGACACUACAACUGCUGUUGGUCAGAGGGUUGUUCUUCACUGUAGUCCGCCAAGGGGAAAACCGGACCCUAAAGUGAUCUGGAGAAAGAACGGAGAACUUGUCCAAACUGAUGAUAGGAUACAUAUAACAGAGGAAGGAAAUCUCGAAAUAGAUUCUGUAGAGAAGAUAGACAUUGGAGAAUAUUUAUGUCUGGCAAUCAACACUGGUGGUGAAAGGCAAAGCAGACCCGCUCAGUUACGAGUCCUAGAUGUGCCGGUUUUUCAUAAGUUACCUAAGAAUGUUGACGUUGAGGAGGGUGAGGAUGCCCAGUUUUUCUGUGAUGUCAUGGGAGAUCCACCAAUCAAGGUGCGCUGGAGUAAAGAGGGCGGAGCCAUCAGCUUUGGCAGGGCCAGGGUUUUGUCAGACCAUACUUUGCGUAUAGAGAAUGUGGAGUCCAAUGAUGAUGGUGUAUAUGUCUGCUCGGCGGAGAACGCAGCUGGAUCUACACAGGCUACAGCCAGGCUUGUUGUCUAUUCUUCUCCGUCAUUUCUGGUUAGUCCGAGAGACCAAGUGGUUGCUAGGGGACGUACCGUAUCACUGCAGUGUGUUGCUAAGGGCAACCCACCACCUACUGUGUUCUGGAGCAAGGAAUCUCAGGAGAAUCUCAUGUUUCCGAAUCGAGACUCAUGGCCAUUAUUCAGGUUGCCUGAGGACGGAACUCUUCGUAUCGAGGCAGUGAAUGACUCUGACGCUGGAGUUUACGUCUGUGAGGCUCUCAACACUAGGGGAGCUGCUUAUGCCUCUGCUAAAGUAGAGGUCAAAGCAGAGAGUGCAUUCAUUCUUCCAGCCCAUGACAGUCGGCCACCACCAAUUAUAAAAAUCGGGCCUCAGAACCAAACACUCCAUGUUGACUCGGUAGCAUUACUUCAGUGUGAAGCAGACGGCAAACCAAAACCUAUCAUACGAUGGUAUAAAAAUGGCCGCCCACUUCUGAUGUCUGGUCCACGAUACGCUCUGAGAGAAUCUGGGACGCUACAAAUAUCAGACUUGAAGAUGCAGGACACUGGCUCUUACACAUGUAAAGCUAUUAGUGAAACAGGGGAGACAACUUGGCAAGCCUUUCUUACAGUUGCUAGUGACUUUGGUCAAGAGACUGUGAAAUCUGUAGCUAUAAGUCUACUGCCAGACCCACCCACAAAACCAGUAGUUAGUGAUGUAACUGACACGUCUGUGCACCUGUCCUGGUCACCUGGGGUUCAGACUGGACAGUCACCUGUGACGGCAUUCUAUGUGGAGUACUUUGGCUAUGAAACAACUGAUGGAUGGGUGGUAGCUAGCGGGGAUGUGAAGAGAGAGAGUUAUACUGUUGAUAAACUCCGUCCUAACACGACCUAUAUCUUCUUGGUGCGAGCAGUUAAUGAAUAUGGAGUUGGCUUCCCUAGCUUGGUGUCAGAGUCUGUCAGAUUGCCAGGUCACAAACCCAAACAUUUGAAGCCAUACCUUUCCGAGGCAGAUAUUAGACGACUACUGAGUGGAGAUAUAGUGGAGAUAGAUUAUACACAUUCUGUCAACUCCUCUGCCAUCAGUCUCAGGUGGAGGAUAUUGAAAGGAGAUGACAUUAUAGAAGGUUUCCAGAUUUUGUACCGACAAAUUCUCGACAUCAGGCGUCUAACAUACGGAGAAACAAAGACCAUUCACGUUCCUCCAACAGUGACGACAUACAUUGUGACUGGGUUGAAGAGUUAUAGCUGGUAUGAGUUACGGGUCCUGGCAUACAGCGGCAAGAUCCAGUCACUGUACAGUCAUCCAGUGAAAGUUCAAACGGCCGAGGAGAAUUACCUACCUGGAGCUCCAAAAGAUGUUACAGUACACAAGAUAUCUGAGGACAGUGUAUCUGUGGUGUGGGGGCGGCCGGACACCACGCAUAAACACUUCCUUAUUACAGCAUACAAGGUAUUCUGUGUGAGUGCUACCCAGAAGGAGAACUGUAGUGUACAGACAGAUGGACAUACAUACAGUACUGUUAUAAACAAACUUAAAGAGAGUCAGGUGUAUACUAUCAAGGUAGCUGCUGUGACACCGAGAGGCAUAGGAGCUUGGAGUCAGGCUUUUGUUGUUGAUGCAAAUGGAGUGCAGUUUGUUUCUGCGGGUUCAGGUCUUCAGAGUACACCAAAAUCUGUGACGGGAGAAGAAUCUGGAGAAGAGGACCUGUUUAAGCGUUCAUGGUUUGUCGGUCUGUUGAUAGCUGUGGGUGGGGUAAUGUUAUGGCUACUCUUGUGCAUCUUCUCAGUAUGGCUGUGUAAAAGAAAGAAGCAUCGGAAGAAGAUGAAGGACCAAAGGUUCUAUACUGGAGUACCAGUACGUAAAGGUGAAGAGAACAACAGGAAAAACAUGAUGUAUCCACCACAAUAUGCAGUCAAAGAUCAGAGGAUUCAUUGUACUAACGAUUUAGAUUUACCGCCAGAGUUAAGGGUCUUGUUGCCAGGUCAGAACAAGCAAGAACAAGAAGAUGACAACAUUUACAAGAUGGCUGGAGAUGGUAGUUUUCCUGAAUUAAAGACGUUCUAUCAGAGAGUGGACCCAGUGGCACCAUAUGCAACUACUGCUCUUAUACAGCAGCAACAUCUGAUGAAACAAAGGCAACAGGGUAUAGAGAAUAUGUUCCGUCCAAUAAACCAGGGUUAUAUUCAGCACAGUGAGGGGUCAGCUGACAGUUGCCAGAAGCCAGCUCUGAGUACCGAUUCAAACCCGGACCAAAGUCAUCAUAGUCACUCCACAACUGACCAUAACCACAGCGACCACAUGAGUCCAACUAGCGACAGUGGUAGCCAUUCAACAGAUGAAAAUGGCUUACUCAUCAAGCAGAAAAAGAGGAGUAAUUCAAAGAAAGAUAACACCACCCCUAAACAGGCUGUUAACGUGAACUGGUCCGAGGUGCUUCCUCCACCACCUGAACACCCUCCACCAAGUGAAUGUGGUGAGCCACCUUUAUAUAGUGAAGUAAGAGGAGACAGCCGUAGUAAUACACGCAGUCCGAUGUCCCCGGUAUCAUUUUCGCAGUUAUCCGCGUGUUCUUGUCCAAAUCCACAUACGCAGACACCAGUUUCUGGAUGGAAUAUGCCAGUGUAUUCAGACAAUGAGUGUCCACGAUGUCACUCUGAAAAAUAUUUUGACCCAAUGAAUUACUGCCAUGAUGCAUAUAUAAGAAGGACUCAUUCACCCAGGAUGCAAAUGUUACAACAUGUAAAUAAUAGAAAUAUACCCAAUACUGCACAUACGUGUUCUCCGAGAGCAACUCCAAGCGGAAGUGUUCAGUAUCAGUACUCACAGCCCCAAAGGGGCUAUCAUUCAAACUGUGCUACCCCACAAGGGGAAAAUAGUAAAUCAAAUAUAAAAAGGGCUUCGCAUAGCUCCCAUAGUGACAAUGAAGCUCCCAGUAUUAUGCCAUGUUUUCAGUCGUAUAAAAUAACACCAAAGAGUGAAAAAGACUAUAGAUUCAUGCACGAAGAGUGGGGCCCUGACCCAGCACCCCCUUGUCAGUGUGAGCAUGAUUCGGGAAUGGGAAUGGAGGAGGAUGGAAUGAGCAUGGAUCGAGCAUGCCAGUCGUCACUGCCGAGCAUAGCUCCUGGUGACUGUGUGAAUAAUUAUAAUGUGAGGCCAACAAUGUCUUCCAGUAUGCAGGAUAGAUACCACUGUGAUUCCCCCACCUCGGAGGGGGCUGACUAUGCCACGGAGUCGGACUUGGAGCCAAGUCAUGAACAACCUACAACUUACACUGGAAGUACAGAUCAUAACACUGAUUGUAGCAGUGUACAGUCAAGCACGUGUAGUUCGGGUGAUGGUACAUUCCUCACAGAGGAGGACUUUGCUAGUGCUGUAGCACGUGCUGCAGAAAUGUCUGGCCUUACAGUGAUUGGUACAACAGUCUGUGAUCCUAAUAACAAAUCCAGUAAAAAAAGAACGUCGGCCCCGAAGACAGGCACGUCCCAUAAGUCCAGGCUAUUCCACAGACAGUAAUUAUGGGUCUAUAGAUAUGAUUCGCAAACCUUACCCGAAGUCUCAGCGUAAACAACAGCUGAUAGAGCAAGGGAAAGGGAAGUUCCAGCCAGUCAGC
rnacentral:misc_RNA from 1 species